UACGUAGGCAGCAGGCGUUGUUCGGAGUUACUGGGCGUAAAGGGUGUGUAGGCGGUUCUUUAAGUUUGGUGUGAAAUCUCCCGGCUCAACUGGGAGGGUGCGCCGAAUACUGAGGGACUAGAGUACGGGAGAGGAAAGUGGAAUUCCUGGUGUAGCGGUGAAAUGCGUAGAUAUCAGGAGGAACACCGGUGGUGUAGACGGCUUUCUGGACCGACACUGACGCUGAGACACGAAAGCGUGGGUAGCAAACAGG
rnacentral:rRNA from 1 species